rnacentral:misc_RNA from 1 species
GUUCUGCUUAAGGAGCAGGGUGCGAGGGGUUUCUUCAGGGGUUGGGUGCCUACUCUCCUUGGAUACAGUGCACAGGGUGCUUGCAAGUUUGGCUUUUACGAGUUCUUUAAGAAGUAUUACUCUGAUAUUGCUGGACCUGAGUACGCAGCUAAGUACAAGACCUUGAUCUACCUUGCGGGUUCUGCAUCUGCUGAGGUUAUUGCUGAUGUUGCACUUUGCCCUUUCGAAGCAGUGAAG